AAUCCCGUAUUAAACUCACAAAAUAUACCCGUUUCGGGCCGAUGCUCUCAUUAUUUACUGUUUAGAGUAGGCGGUCUAUCGCUUUGCAUACAAGUAGAAGGGUAGUAUAUAGCGAUGCUCUGAUUGGAUAAUGAUAAUCAGCAGUCGUCAUAUGGGCGGAUACAAUCUCUGCUCUUUACAUCGGCAAGUAAUUACUCUUUGGGAAUUAGAUUUUAUCGGCGAUGUUGACUUCUCUUUGAUCAAUUGGGAGAGCGAAAUGGAAAUAUACACAGCUAAAUUCUCGCCUGAAUUGCCCUUCACACUGCUCAUUGAGUACCUCAAUAAUACGGUAUUUUCAUGGAUUUUUUUUUUUUUUUUUUUUUUGGACACGAAAAAAACGGUAGGGUCGGCGCAUAUUAUUAGGUAGGGUCGGGUGACCCGAACAAAACAAUUUUUUUUUUUAGGCCUAAGAUGAAUUUAUCUUUCGUUUUGAAUCAUAGCCUAAAAAAAUGUUAUUUUAUUAAUUAUUUUAGUGAAUUUAGAGACAUCAGGUCACUGAAAUUUUGAGAAGCCCGACGGGAUACCCAGCUUGGAAACUCGGGUAGUCCUUGGGGAAAAUUGGUAGCCUCGGGCUAACGGACCAUCGUUAGUGUCGAGCCCUGGUACUCUAUCUGGAAUAAGAAAACCUGAAUUGCCAUGGUUUUGUGGUACGUCAUGCAAGAGAUCAGAGAAAAAAACCUCUAAGAGAAGUGAAGGUGACAAAUUGGACCAAAAAGACUUGCAUACUCAGAUUAAGACAGACACAGAUAUUUACAUUGCAACCCCAUUAAUACCAACACCAACACAAUCAAGUAAAAGAUCAACACGUUUGAGAAAAUUAAAAUUCCUUGGGAGGAGAAUCAACCACCAGUGGACAGAAUCAGACGGCUCUCUGAAUUGGUACAAAGGCACCGUGCUUUCUGUUUCUUCUGGAAAAGACGGAAAUCCUGAUGCAGUAUAUGAGGUGCUAUAUGAAGGCGAAGACGCGUCAUAUGAAGUAGAUUCUUUGAUCAAAGACUAUAAUGAAGGCACCUUAAUUUUCAUAGAUUUGUAAUGGUAAUGGAGAUUCAGUGUCACUAAAAUAGAUGUUACUUUAAAAGUUUUCAUUCAUCAUAUCACAUAUUUAUCAUUGGAAGGAACUUUAUUUUGACAUACAAGUUACAUGUGCUGCAAACUGAUUCAGGUAAGGCUUUUGCUUUUAUUUCAAUUUUCUUUUUUCUUUUUAGGCAAUGUAACAGCUUCUUUAUAGGUAAAGGAUUAAUGCCUCAACACUUUCCUUUUCAAAUGUACCUCAGAAUACUUCAGUUUAAAGUUUGAAUUUUUGACCUAAAAUUUUCAACAAAACAAUAUGGCUGACAUUUGAUGCACCUUAAGGAAAAUAAAUAGAAUUUGUUUCCCAAUAUGGAGUCUGCUUUCAAAUGAAAUCUCGUGAGAUUUCAAAUUUUGGGUAAUUUUUGCAUCUAUUUUUAGUAACGAAAAAUGUACUAUUUAUAGAAUUUUACUAUUUUUAGUACUCAUGUUGUUAUUUAAGCAGAAAACAUGUGCUUAUCAAUGGAAAGAAAAUUUACAUAAAUCUUCAUGGUUUUUUAACCAAUUUCCAUGUGUUUUAUUUUACUGGUGACUUUUGUCUUAUUUCUUGAUAUUUAUAAGUGUUUUUACUUCAUAAUUUUGUUUUAUUGCUAAAAAACUGAGAAAUACAUGUAGACAGUUUUUGCUGUCAUGGAGCAGUGCAGGGCUUGUGGCUGCUCACUUAAAAGAGCAAGAAGUGUAAGCUCCAAAUUACAUGGACAUGGAAUUUCACAGCUCUCCUUAGUUGAAGGAGUGAAGAAAUUUUUAAAUGUAACUGUGACACCAGGGAAAAAUGUAUGUGGUGAUUGUUUUAACAAGAUCAGUAAACUGACGGUGCUUUCAGAAAAAGUUAGCAAAAAUAAAAAAGAACUUUCAACACAGAAAAGGAAGCUUUCAGAUUCUGGGGUUUUUAGAAACGAAAUAUGUUCAAACAUAUCUUCGGUUUCUUCGGUUUCUUUUUCACCAUCCCCUAUUGCCAAACGGAUGUGUUUUUCUCCAAGGAAAGCUACAUGUAGUACACCCAAAACAGUGAAGCCCAAACAUACUUCAUUAAUAGACACUAUUGUGAGACAAGUUCAAAAUACCAACUAUGAUUCAGCAAUACGAACUAUGAUGAUGUGUAAGAAGGCAAAUGGUGAUAUUAAAAAGGUCAUUGGUCUGUGUGUCCAGGAUGAGGUCAGGGCAUUCUCUAAAAAGAUAACAUCAUUAAGACAAAUCCUCACACUUGAGAGCAUUGAUAAAUUUUCAUGGGAAGGUUUUUUAAACGAUGUUGACACAGGCCUUCCAUUUCUAACAUCAUUGUUGAGGUCAGUUAUCACCACAAAACGAACUAAGGACAAGAUUUCAUGGUACAUAACAAAUUAUUAUUU